AUUAUAGAUAGGUGAUAGCCACAGAUGGAAAGACUAAAUCAUGAGUUCCUACCAAUAUUUUCCACUCCAGUUUAGGCCAAAAGGUUUUCUUAACAGCAUCAAUCUUGAAAGCAAUCAAUCAAAAUUUCCCCAUUCUCUGAAUUAAAACUCCUAGUUCCCAGUUCUCAACACCAACAUAGUUUCUCAUUUGCUAUACCAACAUAGGAACAACCAAAGAGUAGGAACAAGCCAGAUAGUGGGCUGUGUCCCACAGGCUAGGGACACAGCCCACUAGUACACUGAGGUUUAACCAUGAGGUUGUAGAAUGCUUUCCUUCCCCACCCAGAUCACCACUCACAGGGCCCAGGGUAACUGGAUUGUGGCUGACAGAGCUGCAAGACACACUCUCUGAUGGGUAAACAACAUGUGUAUGUACAGUGGGAUAUUUGUCCAUAGAAAGGGAUGAAGCACUGAUAAAAAACUGAGAACACAAUGCUAAGUGAAAAGUAAAUAAAGACACCAAGAGUCAAGUGAAAUAUAUUCCAUUUAUGUGAAAUGUUCAGAACAGGCAAAUCCAUUCAGAAAGUAGCUUAGUGUUGUCAGAUUUGGGGGAAAGAGGACAGGGGAGUUCCUGCUAAUGGGAAUGGAUUUUCUUUUUGUAUUGCUAAAAAUGUUCUAGAAUUAGUGGUGAUGGUUGUACAACCUUGUGAAUAUGCUAAAAGCCACUGAAUAUAUGCUUUAAAAGAGUGGUAUUAUAGUAUAUAAGCUACAUCUCAACCAAAAAAAAAAAAUCUUCUUAAUGUAAUAUUGCCUGGAAAGCUACUGAUCUUGCUUGAAAUUUCAUCCAGACCUAGGGAAAGAAGCAGCCCACGAGCAGAGCUAAAGAGACAGUAGAUGAAAUCGUUAUUUUUUUAAAUGAACUCAACAAAUUCCUGUCCCUUCGAUAUAAUGGUUGUGUUUGUGGGGGCUCAUCUAGGUGCCUUUCCAUGAAAUAGGAAUGAUCAAAGUGCUAAAAAAGGAUCAGAGAACUUCCACAUUCUGCUCUCACAAGUAAAGAGCAUGGAAUCUGCUGUUCCUUUU
rnacentral:lncRNA from 1 species